GCCUCUUAGCGGGGGAUAGCUAUUGGAAACGAUAGCUAAUACCGCAUAAAAGUCGACAUUGCAUGAUGUUGACUUGAAAGGUGCAACUGCAUCACUAAGAGAUGGACCUGCGUUGUAUUAGCUAGUUGGUGAGGUAACGGCUCACCAAGGCGACGAUACAUAGCCGACCUGAGAGGGUGAUCGGCCACACUGGGACUGAGACACGGCCCAG
rnacentral:rRNA from 1 species